rnacentral:rRNA from 1 species
GGGGUGCUCGAGUGGCGAACGGGUGAGUAACACGUGAGUAACCUGCCCUUGACUUUGGGAUAACUUCAGGAAACUGGGGCUAAUACCGGAUAGGAGCUCCUGCUGCAUGGUGGGGGUUGGAAAGUUUCGGCGGUUGGGGAUGGACUCGCGGCUUAUCAGCUUGUUGGUGGGGUAGUGGCUUACCAAGGCUUUGACGGGUAGCCGUCUGAGAGGGUGACCGGCCACAUUGGGACUGAGAUACGGCCCAG